GCUCACUGCGUCCUGGCCAAUGGGGAGGCGCGGCCGCAGCCUCUGCCCUGACCCCGGCCCGCCCCCUGCCCCCGCGCUGCGCCCCGCCUCCUGCCUCCGCACUUCCAGGACUUGUUUAUGAGGUCGUCUGGGCGGCGGGUAGUGGGGUGGGACUCCGCAUCAGGGAGACGCGGCCUGCACGGGGCUGAGGGGCGGCCGGGAGCAGGGCUCCAGGAUUGCUGCCGGGGGCGGCAGUUCCGCCACAGCGUCGUUGUCCUCCUACCGGCGCUGUGCCCUUGGAACGAGGGCAGGACCGCGGGCAGCGCCCGGCCGGCCCGGAGCCCCUCCACGCUGCUGCGCUCCCGCGUCCCUGGCCCCGUGACGUGGGCCUCGGGCCAGGGUGUGCCCUCAGGAGGAUGGGAUAGAAUAAAGUGUGAACUUACAAACCUGGCAGAGAGCAAGCACCUGGGAUGCAGUGGGCUGGUGGAAGAAAGAUGGCCUCAGUAGUCCCAUCGAAGUAACAUUUCAGCUGAGUUCCCAAGACAAUCAAUGCCAACUACUGCCACUUCCAAAAUGUAGAACACAAGAAAGAGCUCCUUGAAAAUGAUUUUGCAUGCCUUCUCCAGCCACUGUCCACCUCAAGGGAGUGCAUGGAUUGAUACAGAAGAAGACUCGAAGUUGGAGUUCUAGGAUUGGGUUGUCAACAUUGUGGUCAGUUUUCCUCCCCAUACCAUGGAGAGAGGACAUGCUUUGCUCCUGUCUCUUAAGUCCAGUGACUAGGGCUUACCUGAGACCACACACAGAGCUUGAUAUGUGUCCCUGGAGCUUGUGGAACACAGGAGACUGCCCACUGGUGAGCAGCUGGCUGAAGAGGCCUAUUGUAGAGGAUGUUUCCAUUUGGAAGUCACUCUCUCUUGCCUAUAUCAUGGCAAGGGAGUGUGUGGCAGGUUGAGUUUCCUGGAAGAUGACUCUGAGGGGGAAGAUUAAUGUGAGGAAGGUUUUUUAGAGAGUGCUCUUGGGAUAGCACCCAGAGGAGGAAAAGGGAAGAAGCAGGAUCAUAGAGAGAAGUGGACCCCCACUGCCCAGAUCUGAAGCUGGGAUGGCCCUUCAGAGUUGUCCCAAGACAGAGCCAAGGGACCUUUCUACCCCUGCCACAGAUCGAUCAUUGUUUCUGGCUGACCUUGGGGAAAGGCUGUGACCUUGAGCAACAGCAUCUGGGGGAAUGUGUCCUUCAUUCCUAAGGGGAGAUCUGGGCAGUGAUCACAGGGUCCAGUAUGGCACAUGGCAUGCAGGUACCGGAUGUGGAACCUGCAAGAAGAAUCACCACCUAGGAUCAGACACAGUGGCUCACAUCUGUAAUCCCAGCACUUUGGGAGGCUGAGGCAGGCAGAUAACUUGAGGUCAGGAGUUCGAGACCAGCCUGGCCAACAUGGUGAAACCCUGUUUCUACUAAAAAUACAAAAAUUAGCCAGGCGUGGUGGUGGGUGCCUGUGAUCCCAGCUACUCAGGAGGCAGGAGAAUCGCUUGAACCUGGGAGGCAGAGGUUGCAGUGAGUCGAGUGAGUCGAGAUCACGCCACUGCACUCUAUCUGGGCAACAGAGACUCCACCUAAAAAAAAAAAAAAAAAAAAA
ensembl:lncRNA